rnacentral:rRNA from 1 species
UACAGGGGGUGCAAACGUUGCUCGGAAUUAUUGGGCGUAAAGCGCGCGUAGGCGGCUACCUAAGUCGGAUGUGAAAGCCCCUGGCUUAACUGGGGAAGUGCACCCGAAACUGAGUAGCUAGAGUGCGAAAGAGGGUCGCGGAAUUCCCGGUGUAGAGGUGAAAUUCGUAGAUAUUAGGAAGAACACCAGUGGCGAAGGCGGCUCACUGGUCCGGUACUGACGCUGAGGUGCGAAAGCGUGGGGAGCAACAGG